rnacentral:rRNA from 1 species
GAUGAACGCUGGCGGCGUGCUUAACACAUGCAAGUCGAACGGAAAGGCCCAAGCUUGCUUGGGUACUCGAGUGGCGAACGGGUGAGUAACACGUGGGUGAUCUGCCCUGCACUUCGGGAUAAGCCUGGGAAACUGGGUCUAAUACCGGAUAGGACCACAUUUUGGAUGGUGUGGUGGAAAGUUUUUCGGUGUGGGAUGAGCUCGCGGCCUAUCAGCUUGUUGGUGGGGUAAUGGCCUACCAAGGCGUCGACGGGUAGCCGGCCUGAGAGGGUGUACGGCCACAUUGGGACUGAGAUACGGCCCAGACUCCUACGGGAGGCAGCAGUGGGGAAUAUUGCACAAUGGGCGCAAGCCUGAUGCAGCGACGCCGCGUGGGGGAUGACGGCCUUCGGGUUGUAAACUCCCUUCGCUAGGGACGAAGCGUUUUUGUGACGGUACCUGGAGAAGAAGCACCGGCUAACUACGUG